GGAAAGAAGAUGGAUUUUACCCCUCAGAACCAAUAUUUGUGCCUUACCCAGAUUCUGUGAAAGAAGAUGAUGGUGUGAUACUUUCUGCUGUUCUUACACCACAUCAGGAUAAAAAUACAUUUCUUUUAAUCUUGGAUGCAAAAGACUUCACAGAAAUUGCCAGAGCGGAAGUGCCUUUGCAGAUGCCUUAUGGAUUUCAUGGUAUCUUUGUACCGGAAAGAAACUGAAUGUGAACAUA